rnacentral:rRNA from 1 species
UACGGAGGGUGCGAGCGUUAAUCGGAAUUACUGGGCGUAAAGCGUGCGCAGGCGGUUUCUUAAGUCAGAUGUGAAAGCCCCGGGCUUAACCUGGGAACUGCGUUUGAAACUGGGAGACUUGAGUGUGGCAGAGGGGGGUGGAAUUCCACGUGUAGCAGUGAAAUGCGUAGAUAUGUGGAGGAACACCGAUGGCGAAGGCAGCCCCCUGGGUUAACACUGACGCUCAUGCACGAAAGCGUGGGGAGCAAACAGG